rnacentral:rRNA from 1 species
UACGGAGGGGGCUAGCGUUGUUCGGAAUUACUGGGCGUAAAGCGCACGUAGGCGGCGAUCUAAGUCAGAGGUGAAAAGCCCGGGGGCUCAACCCCCGGAACUGCCUUUGAGACUGGAUUGCUAGAAUCACGGAGAGGUGGGUGGAAUUCCGAGUGUAGAGGUGAAAUUCGUAGAUAUUCGGAAGAACACCAGUGGCGAAGGCGGCCCACUGGACGUGUAUUGACGCUGAGGUGCGAAAGCGUGGGGAGCAAACAGG